GGGAUAAUAGUAUAGUGGUCAGUACUUCUCGUUGUGGUUGCCUCGCAACAUCCGAGAGGACCCAGGUUCGAUUCCUGGUUAUCCCA
rnacentral:tRNA from 1 species